CUCCCACAGUAGAGAUGGCUGUAAACAGACCAUGUGGAUUCACCCUGGAUAUUUAUGGAGAAUCAUGGGAGCAGGGAUGGCUGAUCCACACACCACACUCUGAUCCCUGGCAGGGCUUGAACUAUGUGGACAAACUGCUCUACAAACAAACCCUUUACUGAGGCAACUGGAAACAGAGAAAACAGUAGAAAUGACACUUAGACACAAGACAAUAAUUAUUUAUACUGCAACAGCUGGAAUUUGUGCUAGUGAGUAACCAGAAUGCCUGACUCAAAGGCAUGGAAAAGCGUGUUUUCCCCAGGAACGGGUUGCCUUGGACAUGGAAUGUCAAACACUGCUGCUUUCUGACUCUGACAGCGCCUGGCUGAGCUCCAGGUCUGCUCCCGGCGCGAGAAGGGCCCAACUCUCCACGCUCGGGAUCGGGAGAGCCCUGGUUGAACCUCGUGUUCCUCCAGGAAAAACUUGGAUGUGCAGCAAAGCGCUCGUGCUUUGGGGCAAAAUGGAGCAAAUAAAGCCCCGCUGCAGCUCUGCUGUGCCCUCCUGGCACCUCUGGCUCUUCCCCCGCGUUCAGUUCGAAGCAUAAGCAGCACCUGCUGGUGGAAACAAAGCCUGCUGAGCCAUCCUCCUGGAAGAACAGUUUAAAACCAAAAUGGAGCUGGCAGUGCAGGGAUGUGGUCAAAUUGUGUGACCAGCAGCAUUUCCAAAAUGUCCAGAAGAGGAACUGUGCUGACUGGAAACACCAUUUGGAGGGUGAGCAGCACGUGGAAAAAUCAGGAAUUCUGCGGUGUCUAAUCGUGCACAGCAUUUCCCUGGAUAAGUAACACUAUGAUUCUCAAUCCCGAAACGCUUCUAUAAUAAGAAAAUAAUUUCUUUCCUGUUAAGGGAUGUUCUUUUAUUCCAGAAAUAGAAUGGCCCCUCCAUCAAAGGGUUGGCUGUGCCCUGGGCCCCGUGCAGAGAUGGGCCAGGGGGGCCGGGGCUGCAGUGGAGUUACAAAGAGCUGCACUAUUUUAACGCGGAAGGAUGUGGUUUGGGGUUGGUUAAUACACGCUGCUUGACAUA